ACGAAAAUUGCACAGCACGAAAAAAUUCUACAUGACAAAAUUCCACAUUAUUUGAUUAUUAUAUUAUUCAUUUUGAAAUCUAAAAUAUUUUCAUAAACCAUGCAGGUCAAACCUUUGGUUGCAAAAGUCACCCUGCCCGAUACUCCCCAGAAUGAAUGCCUAACGUUUCUAAAAUAUAUUUCUUUCUCUAAACACUUAUCACGUAGGCACAUGGACGGCCAUCAUAAGUUAAUUAGAUGGAGAUUUGUUAUUCAUGGGGGAAUAGACGGGUACAGCAGGUUGAUCGCUUUUCUGCGAUGCUGUACAAAUAAUAAAGAAAAGAUGGUCCUUAGAUUGUUGGAAGCUCCUGUUGACGAACAUGGUCAACCUUCACGAGUCCAAUCUGAUUUUGGCACAGAAAAUGUUGACGUUUCUCGGUAAAUGCUUCAUGUCAAAGGUAUAAAAUCGAGGAGGUAUAAUAGCAGGAAAAUCAGUACAAAACCAACGCAUUAAUUGAGCGUCUUUAAGGAGAAGGCAAAAGAGAUGUGGUUCGAAAAUUUCAAAAUAUUUUUUUAAUUUUUGGAGGAUAAUCACUUGUUGGAUCCGUUAAAUGAUCUCAACUUAUCCAGUCUUCACUACAAUUAUCGAUCACGGAUAAACAGAGCUCUUCGUGAGAUGGUAAGGGAUUGUGCACACCACCCAAUUUCUAUACAUAAUAGACCACCUCAUCAGCUUUGGCACUAUAGAAUGACUCGUUUAUUUCAUAUUGAUCUCCAAUCAGAGGAAGAAUACUUGGGACGAGCAUGAAAUUGACAAAGAGGCUCCAUAUCUAGACGUGGAAACAGAUAAUGAUGUGGUUAUUCUUGAACACGUAUCCACUUAAAUGAAAACCAACAAUCACAUUUGGAACAGACAAUUGAUCCUUUGUUAGAUGACAACAACGAAGGAAUAGACUUAUACCAACAAACUGUUAAUGCACUUACUAAUUUACUGUGAGGAUAACUACUUGUUUAGGGCAGCGUAAUUGAUUGUGAAUACAACUAAAAUAAAUUAAACCU